rnacentral:rRNA from 1 species
GAUGAACGCUAGCUACAGGCUUAACACAUGCAAGUCGAGGGGUAACAAGAGAAAAGCUUGCUUUUCUUGUUGACGACCGGCGCACGGGUGAGUAACGCGUAUCCAACCUGCCUAUAACUAGGGCAUAACCUUGCGAAAGGAUGACUAAUACCCUAUGAUUUCCUUUGAUUACAUCAGAUUAGGAAUAAAGAUUUAUCGGUUAUAGAUGGGGAUGCGGAUGAUUAGCUUGUUGGCGGGGUAACGGCCCACAAAGGCAGCGAUCAGUAGGGGUUCUGAGAGGAAGGUCCCCCACAUUGGAACUGAGACACAGUCCAAACUCCUACGGGAGGCAGCAGUGAGGAAUAUUGGUCAAUAGACGGAAGCCUGAACCAGCCAAGUAGCGUGCAGGAUGACGGCCCUAUGGGUUGUAAACUGCUUUUAUACAGGAAUAAAGUUAGCCACGUGUGGUUAUUUGUAGGUACUGUAUGAAUAAGGACCGGCUAAUUCCGUGCCAGCAGCCGCCGUAA